ACAGUGGAAUCUGAUUGGUAGUCAACAAUGUUUGAUCUACUUCCUGAUUCAAGAAAGCGACCUCACCUAACCAUUGAUUUCUUAUAAUCAAGACUUGCAACCACCUCAAACUCAAAUCUCAGUUGUUUUUCCGGCGAACGUUUUUUUGUCAAGACAUACUACCAGAUUCAAGUUUUGACGAAAUUGUACUAGGGAGACGCAAGGGAGAAGCUAGUUGAAGCGAUUGAGGAACUGAAGCUGGAUACAUUGGUCAUGGGUAGCAGAGGACUGAGUACUCUCAAGAGGUUCAGCCACGAUGUUGUUCGCCGGUUCAACCAAUCAGACCCGCAACCGGCUGGCCCAAACAAAGGCGGUUCAGGGGCACUUGACCGGAGCGGUCAUGUAGGCGAUUUCUAGUCCUGUCCGGUUCAGUUCUGAGAUAAUUGUGUUUUGUCAAGUGACCAUUUUAGCUAGGAAUGUGUAACAUUUGAGUGAAAGUAGUUAACCUAAACUAGUAUCCGAAUAGGCGAAUACUCUUGUUUGUGUCCUGGUUACAGUUAUAGCCCAAUAGUGGACGUGUGGUUCGCUACCCGUCAGUAUCAGCCUGGUCCAAAACCGGGUUUUCUUUAUUUAACUUUAUCCCCCGAUUAGUCUGAUAUUAGGUUUCAAUCGCUA